CCAUCCCCCCGACUGUCAGAGUCCCUCUGGGAGGCUCUGGGAAGCUGGGGCUGCGUCUUUGGGCGGGAACCGGCAGCCGUGCCCCCCCCCCCCCCCCCCCCCCCCCGCGCCUUGGGUGAAUCGCAGGCGCUGUUCCCUCCGGUUCGGGCUUCCGGCCCCAGCGUCUCGGUUCACCGGCAAAGGGUCCCCAGUUCAACGCGAAUUCAAGUGUGCAGAAGCAGUUAAUGGCGAUGCAGCUCGGAGGCCUUUGGGAUGGGUCCAAGGGUGCAGCUGAUUAAUCGCAGGCCCGUGGGCGGUCCCCAGUUCUUAAAAGGUGCUCCCUUGCGACACUGCAGACUCCCUGAUCUCUCCCAGUGGCUGCCGGUGCUGGAGUGGAUCUGAGCGGUGGAUCAGCAGGUGCCGGAGUGGAUCUGAGUGGUGGAUCUGCCGGUGCCGGAGUGGAUCUGAGCGGAGUGGACGGCGUCCGCAAGAGGCAGAGUCGAAUCUCCCGAGCUGUCGGGCGGGGCCGUGCUUCCCUUCAGCUGGCUCGAAGAGGCGUCGUCGGGGCGGCUCCCUAACAGCUAGUGGGCAACAGAUCCGGGAGCACUCCCCGGGCCGGGAGUCCCCGCAGCUUGGACAGGCUGGAGGGGGUGGAGGAGCCGUCUCAGCGCUGGCGCUGCGGGCGCUGAAUGCGGGCACCUACCUGGCCCUGUGCGCUGCGGGUCUGGAGGGAGCUUCCAGGGAGAAUUCUGGGCCAUUUUUGGAAACCUACAGUGGAGGAACAUCAGGCUCAAAGACAGCGCUCAAUGGCUGAAGAUUUCUGGGCUUUCAUCUUUAAGACCUGCCUGUUACAUGUCCUCUAAAGAUCCUGAGGACUUGGCUGACCCCAAGCAGCACUGAUUCAGCAGUAUGCUGACUCUGAGAGUGCUAGAUGGUGCAUGAAAAGGGGCAGCAAGAAGGAGCCAGAGGGCUGGAGCCGUGCACUUUGGAGAAGAGGACAGGGUAGUCACCCUCUCCUACCCCCAGGCUGGGCAAAGCAGCAGUGGCCUAGGUGGCCACAGAGGGCGGAACUGGGAGCAGUGGAAACAGAUUUCAAUCCCUACUUAUGACAGACUUUUUCCAUUUUUGAGCAACUGAGCCUCAUAAGCUCCCUGUCUUUGGAGGUAUUCCAGCAGAGACUAGCUGAUCACUUACAAAGAAUGUUGGAGACAGAACUGAUGCAUCUAAUGGGGCUGUGGAGUGACUAGAUGAUUUUGCAAUUCCUUUUAGCCUGGAGACGCUGUGCCUGAUAUGGGACCACGUGGGAGUAUAGCUUCAGUGUGUGGUGUAAGCCUUAGCAAUCAGCACCCUCUCUGCCACUGCUCCCCAAAAGCACCUGAAGGAGAAUCUAAAGACAUCCAAGUUAAAUCCUUUCUCUGGUAGGCAACACUUGAGUCUCAUAUAGAUGCAGAGCCACCAUAAAGCAGCAUUCUCGAUACAUGUCACUGGAGAUUAGAUGGCCAGAGGUCAGAAUUUAUAUUUGCCUACGAACAAAGACCUGCUUAUGAAUUUCAUGCCUAAUGUGUCGAAUGGAAAAGACCUGAUGCUUGAACAUAGAGGGAAAAACACAUUCCCCGAUCCCUGCUGUCCAAGCAAGGAGCCUACACAGGCUUAUGUAGGCUUAUGUCAACCUAAAUGUCUACAGAUGUGUCAUCCCAGAGCAGCCUGAAGGGGCCGAUGCCCACAGCUAGCGCCUGAUGGAAUAAGAGUGCCUGAACCUCUUGGUGUAGGCAAUACUAUUAUUCCUUUAAAGUACUCCAGAUGGAAGAAUCGUAGCUCCUAUUGCAGUGGUCGUCUACUUAAAAGGGAAGCUAUUUUUUUGGAAACAAGAGACUACAGUGUCAGUUCCAGGAGUCAGGAAAUGUUUUAAAAAGAAAGAAAGAAAGAAAGAAGAGAAAGAAAUGGUUCACAGGUAGCUUGAAACCUUGAGUAUUUUUCUUGGCGUUAUAUUUAAAGUGAGUCAUGGCCAGGUGCAAUGGCUCACUCCUGUAAUCUCAGCACUUUCGGAGGCCAAGGCAGGUGGGUCACUUGAGGUCAGGAGUUCAAGACCAGCCUGACCAAUAUGGUGAAACGCUGUCCCUUCUAAAAAUAUGAAAAUUAGCUGGGCGUGGUAGUGGGCACCUGUAAUCCAGCUCCUCAGGAGGCUGAGGCAGGAGAAUCACUUGAACCUAGGAGGCAGAGGUUGCAGUGAGCCAAGAUCACGCCAUUAUACUCCAGCCUGGGCAACAAGAGAGAAACUCUGUCUCAAAAAAAAUAAAAAAUAAAAAUAAAUAAAGUGAGUCAUUUGUAGCUCGUUUCUCCCUCAAGUGCAGGGGGAUGUUUCAUGGGACCAGUAGAAGGAAGAAUCCCCUGCUGAUGCUUUUCCUUGUCUUCCUGCAACCUGUGCCCUGAGUCAGAACCAGCCCUAAGAAUUAAAAGGGUGGAGGCCUGACUCAGUGACUCACACCAGCAAGCCCAGCACUUUGGGAGGCUGAGGUGGGCAGAUCACUUGAGGCCAGGAAUUUCAGACCAGCAUGGCCAACAUGGUGAAACUCCAUCUCUACUUAAAAAAAUAUACAAAACUUGGCCAGGUGCAGUGGCUCACACCUGUAAUCCUAACACUUUGGGAGGCCGAGGUGGGUGGAUCACCUGAGGUCAGGAGUUCAAGACCAGCCUGGCCAUCAUGGUGAAACCCCAUCUUAUUUAAAAAUAAAAAUAUAUAUAUACACAGACACACACACACACACACACACACACACACACACACACACACACAAAACUUAUCCAGGCAUGUGGUCCCUGCCUGUAAUGCCAGCUACUCAGGAGACUGAGGCAGGAGAAUUGUUUGAACCUGGGAGUCAAGGUUGCAGUGAACUGAGAUCACACCACUGCAUUCUAGCCUGGGUGACAGAGUGAGACCCUGUCCCCUGUCCCCCCCCAAAAGAGGAAAGCAUACCUUAUUAAAUAGAACCUAGGGCAACAGUCACUUUUUUUUUUUUUUGAGACGGAGUUUUGCUCUUGUUGCCUAAGCUGGAGUGCAAUGGCGCAAUCUGCAAUCUCACUUCCCAGGUUCAAGUGAUUCACCUGCCUCAGCUUCUCCAGUAGCUGGGAUUACAGGGUUCCGCCACUACGCUCAGCUAAUUUUUGUAUUUUUAGUAGAGACAGGGUUUCACCAUGUUGGUCAGGCUGGUCUCAAAUUCCUGACCUCAAGCGAUCUGCCCACCUCAGCCUCCCAAAGUGCUGGGAUUACAGGCGUGAGCCACUGAGCCUGGCCAACAGUCACUUCUAAAACCACUCACUUUAAAGAAUAUUGCAGAAAACUACACCAGUUACGCCAUAAACACCAAAUAGUGAACAGCAGGGUGUGGCAGCAAAGGCAUUCCACUUGGAGUCAGCCUGGUCAGAAGCCCCUGCUCUGCCUUGCUGUGUGACCUUGAGCAAGUACCUUUGCCUCUCUGAGCCCCAGUUUCCUCAGCUAUAAAAUGAGGAAAGUUGAGAAUUCCUUGUGCAUUUUUUAGAUCAGUG
ensembl:lncRNA